rnacentral:misc_RNA from 1 species
UUUCCGUAGGUGAACCUGCGGAAGGAUCAUUAUUGAAUGAAACACUUCUGGCUUUAUGCUGUUGUGCUGGCCCUUUGGGCAAUGUGCACACGGCUCUGGUCACUUGUUUCUUCUGAUCCACCUGUGCACUGCCUGUAGACACGCUGUGUCUAUGAUAUUUGUUAACACACAACAAUGUUAGUUGGCAUGUUAUAUAUAAUAAUAAAAUAUACAACUUUCAACAACGGAUCUCUUGGCUCUC